AGACGUCUACAUUAGAUACCCCUGUAGUCCCAGCCGUAAACGAUGCGCGUUAGGUGUAUCGACGACCACGAGUCGUCGAGGUGCCGAAGGGAAACCGUGAAACGUGCCGCCUGGGAAGUACGGUCGCAAGGCUGAAACUUAAAGGAAUUGGCGGGGAGCACCACAACGGGUGGAGCCUGCGGUUUAAUUGGACUCAACGCCGGGAAGCUCACCGGAUAAGACAGCGGAAUGAUUGCCGGGCUGAAGACUCUGCAUGACUAGCUG
rnacentral:rRNA from 1 species